rnacentral:rRNA from 1 species
GACGAACGCUGGCGGCGUGCUUAACACAUGCAAGUCGAACGGGAUCCGGGCUUUCGGGUUUGGUGAGAGUGGCGAACGGGUGAGUAACACGUGAGUAACCUGCCCCCUUCUUUGGGAUAACGUCGGGAAAUCGGCGCUAAUACUGGAUAUUCUUGCUGCAUCGCAUGGUGUGGUUUGGAAAGGGUUUCUGGUGGGGGAUGGGCUCGCGGCCUAUCAGCUUGUUGGUGGGGUGAUGGCCUACCAAGGCUUUGACGGGUAGCCGGCCUGAGAGGGUGUCCGGCCACACUGGGACUGAGACACGGCCCAGACUCCUACGGGAGGCAGCAGUGGGGAAUAUUGCACAAUGGGCGCAAGCCUGAUGCAGCGACGCCGCGUGAGGGAUGACGGCCUUCGGGGUGUAAACCUCUUUCAGUAUGGAACAAGGAUCCUUCUUUUGGGGGUUUGAGGGUACGUGCAGAAGAAGCGCCGGCUAACUACGUG